UCUCCGUGGGUGAACCUGCGGAGGGAUCAUUACAGAGUUCAUGCCCUCCGGGUAGAUCUCCCACCCACUGCUAUCACUACUCUCGUUGCUUUGGCGGGCCGCUGGGCCCUGCCCGGCCGCCGGCCCCGGCUGGCGCGUGCCCGCCAGAGACCUCACAGACUCUGAAUGUUAGUGUCGUCCGAGUAACUAUACAAUCGUUAAAACUUUCAACAACGGAUCUCUUGGUUCUG
rnacentral:misc_RNA from 1 species